CUCUCUCCGUGAUCUGUUAACAUCAGAUGGAAGCAGCGAAGAACAAAUCCGCGUAAAUGCCAGUGACCUCUUCACAAACAACUUUUUGUAAAGUCUUAAAGGUAUGGAAUAUUCGUCGGAACUUUCGUACAUAUUCCCGCUUUCACAGGAAAGCCGUUAUUGGCACCUACCCGGUGCAUACCGCCCACGUGUCCCACUUGAGUGGCUAGGAUAUAAAAGCCACUCAAAGGCACUGCAAAGAUUUAGGGUUCUUCGAAGAAAGAGGAGAGAGGAGGGGAAAAUGGGUCUGAAUUUGGGCGACAUUGUGCCGGAUUUCAAGGCGGAAUCCACAAUGGGAACCAUCAAAUUCCACGAGUAUAUCGACGGCAGCUGGGCGAUUCUCCUCUCCCACCCCAGCGAUUUCACGCCCGUGUGCACGUCGGAGCUGGGAUCCCUGGCGUCGCGCAUCCACGAAUUCGAUCGCCGCGGCGUCAAGGUGAUUGCUCUCAGCUGCAAUGACGUGAAUUCCCACCGCGAGUGGCUGGGCGACAUCGAGAGCUACUGCCCGGAGACCAAGGUGAAAUACCCUAUCGUCGCCGACCCAAGCCGCGAUCUGGCCGUCCGAUUCGGGAUGCUCGACCCCGUGGAGAAGGAUGCCGCGGGGAUGCCGCUGACUUGUCGCGCGUGCUUCGUGAUUGGCCCGGAUAAGAGGGUACGGCUGUCUAUCCUCUACCCGGCCAGUACGGGCAGGAACUUUAGCGAGCUCGUGCGCGUGAUCGAUUCCCUGCAGCUCACGGAUAAGUUUAGCGUGGCCACGCCCGCGAACUGGGAGAAUGGGAGGAAGUGUAUGAUUCUUCCCACUAUCUCGGACGAGAAGGCCAAGGAGAUGUUUCCAAAAGGAUUCGACACCGUCAAAGUUCCAUCUGGUAAGGCCUACAUCCGUCUCGUGGAGCAGCCAACUCUCUAGGAAAGCUUGGCUUUGCUCCAUAGCCUGUGCUCUAGAAAGCUAUGAAAUAAAACCUCUCAGAGUUUGUUUCC